CACCUCAUAGACACGGACAACAGUGUGGUGGUGACCAGAGGGAAGAGUGCAAAACCAUAGCCUCGGAUAACACCAUGGGACCCCCAGGAAGUGCCCCUGGUGACGCUGGAGUGAGCCCAAGGGAAACGUUACAACGGAAACUGCGUGGUGUGUGCUGAUGGAUGGAGGGGCGGCGGUGGCAGCGGUUGGAUGGUUCAAGGCAAAGUUCAAGGUGAAGGGAUCCCAUGGGAAAGAAAAGGAAAGGAAGGACGCGAGGGGUCGCGAGCGGCACGGGGACCUCGCACUUCCUGCCGGACACCUUCUGCGUCUUGCAUCGGGAGCGCCGUGUUCAUGUGGGUGCAGGAUCUAUUGCAAUAAAAAGACGCACGCCUAUCGAGUCAAGGAUGAUUCCAGAAGAAAGCGAAGGCGUGAGAGGAUCACGGGAAGCUGAGGGGAGGGGAGGAUCUGAAGCUGGGAGAGGUGAUGUCAGCCGAGGACGAUGGGAUCGUUUGGAAGGAGUUUGCUUAAGAAAAAAUGAAAUGUCAGAGCGACGGUGGCAGCGUCGAAGGGCUGAGUGGCAGCGGGCAGUUUGGGGGACCAGGAAGAGAGUGACGCAGGAGAAAGGACAGCGGCUGGAACAGGCGUGCAAGCAGGGGGUGCACCCCACACGGAAGGAGGGAGGAGGAAGGAAGAGAAGGGAGCACCAGGAUGGAAGGCACGAAGGCGUGGCUGCCUCCGCUGUGUUGUGCGAAGUUGGGCUGAUGAGCGGGCUGCCCCGGUCACGGAGCUGAAGGGAAGACAGACAGGCACCAGCUUGGGCUGGACGACAGAGACCUGGCCGAGGAGCCCCGUUGUCUGGAUUGAUUCCAUCGGUGAGUUGUCUCAGGAGGAAGAGAGGACCCGGCCGGAGGGACUGCCCUGUGAAGCGCUUUGGAGGUGGACACAGCCCCUGGCCGCCGUCCCCGUGGGAAGCAUCAGCGUGUCCGGGUCAGCCCGCCGACGGUGAGGACGUGGAAAGAGCGUUGGGCGCAGGACUCGACGGGAAAGAUCGCCGAGCGAAGGAAGGGACCCCCGCCGGCGAGAGGUACCACCUUGGAGGCUGCGAGGGUGAGGCCGUCAGAGUCGCCGUGGUCGCGAGAGAAAGGGCCCCACAAGCCAUCGGGCCGGAGCGUGUGCACUCCUGUGGAGAAGGGCCGGUGCCGUGCACAUCACUUCUCAGGACUUCAGGAGCCAAUCUCAGACAUCAUGAACAAGAGCGGGGCUCGCGCAGGCGGGCGGGCUCGGGGACAUGGCAGAGCGAGACACACCGCCCCAGGAGUGCACAGGGGACGGACGGACGGACGGACGGCGUGAUGGAAACGAGAGCCUCGGGACGGCCGAGGAGGAGGGAAGAGGGACGCAGAGUCGUCAGCCUGGCGGAGGGUCCGGUUCGUGGAGACUGACUGGACUUGGUUUGGAACGUGGGCGCCGGAGCGAAAGCCAGCGCUGGGAGAGCCGUGGGCACCGGCC